rnacentral:rRNA from 1 species
UACGUAGGGUGUAAGCGUUGUCCGGAAUUAUUGGGCGUAAAGAGCUCGUAGGCGGUCUGUCGCGUCGAAUGUGAAAACCCGGGGCUCAACCCCGGGCCUGCAUUCGAUACGGGCAGACUAGAGUUCGGUAGGGGAGUCUGGAAUUCCUGGUGUAGCGGUGAAAUGCGCAGAUAUCAGGAAGAACACCCGUGGCGAAGGCGGCUCUCUGGGACGGUACUGACGCUGAGACGCGAAAGCCAGGGGAGCAAACGGG